rnacentral:rRNA from 1 species
UUGGGCGGCAGGCUUAACACAUGCAAGUCGAACGGCAGCACGGGAGCAAUCCUGGUGGCGAGUGGCGAACGGGUGAGUAAUAUAUCGGAACGUGCCCAGUCGUGGGGGAUAACGCAGCGAAAGCUGUGCUAAUACCGCAUACGAUCUAUGGAUGAAAGCGGGGGAUCGCAAGACCUCGCGCGAUUGGAGCGGCCGAUAUCAGAUUAGGUAGUUGGUGGGUAAAGGCUCACCAAGCCGACGAUCUGUAGCUGGUCUGAGAGGACGACCAGCCACACUGGAACUGAGACACGGUCCAGACUCCUACGGGAGGCAGCAGUGGGGAAUUUUGGACAAUGGGCGCAAGCCUGAUCCAGCAAUGCCGCGUGCAGGAUGAAGGCCUUCGGGUUGUAAACUGCUUUUGUACGGAACGAAAGGGCUCUGGUUAAUACCUGGGGCAUAUGACGGUACCGUAAGAAUAAGCACCGGCUAACUACGUGCCAGCAGCCGCGGUAAUACGUAGGGUGCGAGCGUUAAUCGGAAUUACUGGGCGUAAAGCGUGCGCAGGCGGUAAUGCAAGACAGAUGUGAAAUCCCCGGGCUUAACCUGGGAACUGCAUUUGUGACUGCAUUGCUGGAGUGCGGCAGAGGGGGAUGGAAUUCCGCGUGUAGCAGUGAAAUGCGUAGAUAUGCGGAGGAACACCGAUGGCGAAGGCAAUCCCCUGGGCCUGCACUGACGCUCAUGCACGAAAGCGUGGGGACCAAACAGGAUUAGAUACCCUGGUAGUCCACGCCCUAAACGAUGUCAACUGGUUGUUGGGUCUUAACUGACUCAGUAACGAAGCUAACGCGUGAAGUUGACCGCCUGGGGAGUACGNCCGCAAGNUGAAAUCAAAGAAUUGNCGGGGACCCGCACAAGCGGUGGAUGAUGUGGUUUAAUUCGAUNNAACGCGAAAAACCUUACCCACCUUUGACAUGUAUGGAAUCCUUUAGAGAUGAAGGAGUGCUCGAAAGAGAGCCAUAACACAGGUGCUGCAUGGCUGUCGUCAGCUCGUGUCGUGAGAUGUUGGGUUAAGUCCCGCAACGAGCGCAACCCUUGCCAUUAGUUGCUACGAAAGGGCACUCUAAUGGGACUGCCGGUGAUAAACCGGAGGAAGGUGGGGAUGACGUCAAGUCCUCAUGGCCCUUAUAGGUGGGGCUACACACGUCAUACAAUGGCUGGUACAAAGGGUUGCCAACCCGCGAGGGGGAGCUAAUCCCAUAAAACCAGUCGUAGUCCGGAUCGCAGUCUGCAACUCGACUGCGUGAAGUCGGAAUCGCUAGUAAUCGUGGAUCAGAAUGUCACGGUGAAUACUUCCCCUGN